AUUUCCUUAUAAGUCUGUCACCCUUAAAUAGUGUAAACAGAGAUUUAGAAGAAAAAAUGAGAAGCAUUGCUUUUAUGUUAGGUAUUUGAGAACCAUGAAGAAAAAUCAUAUCCAAGGUAGAUUUUCCUUCUUGGUUUAGAAUUCAGUCCAUAAUAGCGGUGAAAGGAGCUAAGGUUCAAAGAACCGAAUCUCAAAUACUAGUUUGUUAUUCAUAAAAGUUAAACAGUAAGUGAUUUUAGUAUCUUAGCUUUCUGUCUGUUUUCAGAUACAGUUUCCAUGUGACUGCCAGCCAUGAGCUGUAGCUCAAGCAACUGAUUAUUAAUGAUUUUUGAGUUAUCAUGCACAGCUUUUAUGGAUUAUUUUAUUUUUAUCCUGAGUUUUAAGAUGCCCAGAAUGAUCAUUUUUUCCCUCUUUUAAGGAGUGGUGGAAAGGUCCUUGAGCUUAUUUGUGCUCAGAAUGGAUUUACAGGCAGGAGUUUAUUUGUAGUUUUUGGUUAGUCUCCAUUAAACAUUAUUCAUUUAAAAAAUGGAAGUCUAUAUUUUUAUACAUGCUGCUUUGAUAAGAAUAUUCCACUGUUUGAAGAGAAUAAGCUCCUGGGAAAUUACACCAUUGGUAGCUUUUCAUGAGUAGUAGCCUCAAGUGGUAGUCUCCCUUCUUGCAGGAGAAAGUAAAGUAUUUUUCACACCUGUCAAGUUACUCCUAGGUUCAGUGUGUAAUCAGUGAUUUGAGACUCUGUGUAGGUCAUACAGAAGUGUCAAACAGAGCCCAUGAAAUGAAAAUGCAUUUGUGCCUUCUUUUGAUUUAUAAUUCAAAUUGCCUUCAUUUUCCUCAUAUCUUCUCAAAAUCAUGUUCUUCCAUUUUUUGAAGCUAUUCUUAAACUUUGUUAUCCACGUCUUAGGUUUUCCGAAGACAAGUAUAUUGGCCUAUGCUGUAGUAAUCUUCCUUAAUUGAUUUGGGAUGUCUGCCAGUGUCUUAUUAUUCUGCGCUGAUAUCUUUAUAUGACUGGCUUUUAUCCAAGUGCUGUCAUCUUUCUCAUUUUCUUCAUCUCUUUUUGUGUUGAGACAAUAUUCUUAGCCUUUGAGUUGCUCCUUCAUCCCUCGUGUUCGCAGUGGAAAAGGAUUGUAGGUACCGGAAAGCAUAUAUACGGAAGUUGGAGAACUGAUAAAUGCUAAGGACUGUUACCUGAUUUCUUUAGAGGUGAGACCAUAUGGAGGUAAUUUAGAAGUAUUACAUUUUCUCUUGGAUCAGUGUGCAAAUAUUUAUAAGUAACACAUAGUAACUGUCCAUGGUUAUUUUUCUGUUAAUAUUAAAACAAUAAUGAAUUCUCAGGCUGUUAGUAUAUUUUAUGUAAUAUACUCUGUG
ensembl:lncRNA